rnacentral:rRNA from 1 species
GAUGAACGCUGGCGGCGUGCCUAAUACAUGCAAGUCGAACGAGCGCGCCCGGUGCUUGCACUGGUCAAUCUAGUGGCGAACGGGUGAGUAACACGUGGGUAACCUGCCCAUCAGAGGGGGAUAACAUCCGGAAACGGAUGCUAAAACCGCAUAGGUCUUUGAGCCGCAUGGCUUGAAGAGGAAAAGAGGCGCAGGCUUCUGCUGUUGGAUGGACCCGCGGUGCAUUAGCUAGUUGGUGAGGUAACGGCUCACCAAGGCCGUGAUGCAUAGCCGACCUGAGAGGGUGAUCGGCCACAGUGGGACUGAGACACGGCCCAGACUCCUACGGGAGGCAGCAGUAGGGAAUCUUCCGCAAUGGGCGCAAGUCUGACGGAGCAACGCCGCGUGAGUGAAGAAGGUUUUCGGAUCGUAAAACUCUGUUGUUAGAGAAGAACAAGUGCUAAAGUAACUGUUAGCGCCUUGACGGUACCUAACCAGAAAGCCACGGCUAACUACGUG